rfam:Picea glauca, whole genome shotgun sequence.
AUGAAAAUUAUGGUGCUAACAAUAAUCACCUAAAUUAGACCUUGAAUCUACACCCCCUAACCUUCUAAAUCAUCGACCCAUAACCCAUAACCCUUCUAAAUAUGCAAUGUGAUUUAUUCCCAUUGCUUUUCAUGUCAAAGUGAAGAAAUUCAACCAAGCGUGGGUAAACAGCAUGACUAACUAUGACUAUCUUAAGGUAGCCAGAUGCCUCAUCAUCUAAUUAGUGAUGCGCAUGAAUGGAUCAUUAACGAGAUUCCCCAUUGUCCCUAGCUACUAUAUUAUAGAUAAACCACGUCCAAGGGAAUGGGCUUGGCAGAAUUAGUGGGGAAAGAAGACCCUCAUGUUGAGCUUGACUCUAGUCCUAACCCAUUCAUAGUUUGGGAAAAUUAGGGCAUAGUUUGGGAAAAUUAGACCAUAACAUU